CGACGACAAUGGCCCGGAAUUGGAGCUGCUUGCCGCCCUUGACGACCUUGGUGACUCGCCUCACCUGCACCACCCGCUCGUCGAAGCCGUCCUUUGCCUUCUCCUUCUUCCGCUGGCUGCCGAAUCCGCUCGACUUCUUGAGCUUGGAGUCCAUCACGUAGACGUCAUUCCCAAGGACAGUGACCCCGCUGUAAGCGGCGCCGUAGAUCUCCUCGUAGGCGGCGGCGACCUCGUCCUCGGACUCCGGGGGGAGCUCGUAGAAGGGCACCGGCGGCACGUAGCCCUCCGGCGGCGCCGGCGGCUCGAAGGGGACCUCCUCGUUGGGGUUCACCUCGUCGAAGAAGGUGGUGUCGAUGUCCUUCGAAUCGCCGGCGGCGGCGGCUGCCGGCGUCGGCUGCAUGCGCCGCCCGGAGAGCAGGAAAGGGGGGCAGCGGGUGCCCCUGGCGAACGCGAAACCCGGGAAAGCGGACGAUGAGGAGGAGGAGGAGGAGGAGAGGGAGGAGGGGCGGAUGGAGAGGGAGGAGAAGGAGGAGAGAGCAGUCGCGGCGGCCAUGGCGAUGCUGCCCACAGGGGAUCAGAAAGGCCGCAGCUUUGCGGGGUAAACGAGAGCAGCUGCUGCUCCUCCGAGGGGCGCCCCCAACUUUAUCCACCCCUCUAU
rnacentral:lncRNA from 1 species